GCGACCGAUCAAAAGUUACGUAAGUGAAAAAUUAUUUUUAGCAAAAAAGAGUUCAAACUUAUUGGUAAAAUGAAACUUGCCGACAAAUUACAUAAAAUAGCAGUUACUGGUCUUAUGGGUUUAACAGCUAUAGGGGCCAUUACACUUGGCUAUCAAAUGGUGCAAUAUUUUACGACUAUGCCUGCUCGACGCAAAAUUCGUGAAAGUCAAGCUGCCGAAAAUACAGGUGAAGUGCUUACCAAUUCAUCUUAGUUAAAGGUUCUUUAAUAGAAAUGCUUAGUUUGUUCCGGAGUAGAAUAUUGAAAAUGUUUAAAGCUGUCAAUCUGGUGGCCGAUACAGCUUGUUUUCAUGCGGGAUCACUGCAGAAGAAAUCAUGGAAUAUUUUAAGAGUGAAUCACUUGGCCACUGCUACAAAAGACUUGGACACUAGUGUUAAAUUUUACAGAGAUGUUUUAGGUGCUAAGGUAACUUUUUUAUGUACCAAGUUAAUGUAUAAAAUUGCUAUGUAUUUAUUAAUUUUUAAAUAUGAAUCAUUUGAUUCCAGCAAGCCAAGUUAUCUAUGUAUUCAGUAAAUUACCGCCCAUUAGUCAGUGCUAAAGCAGAAAUACAUGAAAUACACCUCCAGCUCAGUCAUUUCCAGCCAAGGACUGCAGUUUGGUGCUUAGGCUGCGUUCGGAAACGAUGCACCGGUUACACCGUGUGGUUAGCCCGGUGUGGUUAUGACGUAUUUGGAAUUUCUCUAGGAAUUUCGGUAGAACAGCUGUGUUUCCGAACGCUCGUGGUUAAACCGUGGUAGUUCUAGUUCAGCAGCAAACGACACUCCAAUCAAAGCGUAAACUUUCAUGAUAAGCAAGUCACGUGUGUUACGAUCAAAACAUGAAACACGACCGGAUUGGCCAACUUAGACUUUGUGAUGUUUGUGAUCUCGCUAACCGCUUCCAGACAUCGGUGCCACAGGUUGCUACCAAGUCGACCGCCAGAAAACAACCGCAGCGUUUCCGAACGCGGUUAAGUGACGUCACCGGUUCCACCGCAAGUGUUUCCGAACGCUUGCGGCUGCACCGAGGCGACCGAUCCUUGUUUCCGAAUGCACCCUUAUUAGCACUCAUCAGCCCGGCUUAGGAAAAAUCUUAGAGUUGAAUCAAACCAUUGCUUUGGUCACUCAUCUGAUCUGUGCUAAUUCUAUAUUAGCUACCAGUUUGUUUGGCACUCUUGGCUCCUUUAAGAGGUUUUCCAUCUCCAGUUCAGUUACUUUCCUAUGCCAGACUGAUGAGUGCUAAUAAGCACAAAACUUCAGUCCUCGGCUGGAAAUGACUGAACUCGCGGUGUAUUUCAUGCAAGUUAUCUAUAUUUAUUUUAUGUGGUAUGCAUUUGUUGAGAAAUUUAUCAAAAAUCAUGGAAAUAGAAAAUACUAUUAUCGUUUUAAUUGAAAAGGUACCUAAUGAUACUGUGAGUUUAAAUGAAGACUUUAUUCAAAGUGUGCACCAUAGGCUUGAGCACCACGAUCCCUCUGAUUAACUGACCGAAGGAUUUCUUAUUCCCAGAAUUUCGGUGGCUGUGACCAGACCCAGUCCUGCACAGUAUUCUUGAAUUUGUCGUCCGAGUUGAAGUGCUUCCCUUUAAAAUGGCCUAACCUAAAUAACACCUAGAAAUUGCAGGGCCACUUGUCUGGGUUGCAGGGCGGAUGGUUAAGUUGCUCCCACUUAAAAGCCCAGGCGGCAUGCCGCCUGGGUGACCCUAGAGACGUAAGGCUGCGGGUCAUAAUGAAGCAAAACCACUCUUCGUGGGCAGCCCUGGUUCUUGAUGAACCUGCCUAGUCUUUGGAGUGUCUCACAGCACACACUGUAAUUAAUGAUUCUCCUAUGUUCAAGGAGUUCAGCAAGGGAGCAGCUGACCAUCCAUCCUACAACCCGGACAAAUCGCCCUGCGAUUUCCAUGUGAUUGAUUCUUUAUAAAAACAUUUGAAAGGGAAGCGCUUCAAGUCGGUCGACAAACUCGAGAACGCUGAAAGAUUAAGUCUUGUCACUGAAAGAUUAUCUCCGUUCUCCCAAAAUAUUUUUUUUUUGGUAAUGUCAAUGUAAAGUAAAUUAGUUUCAUGACACUUUUUUUUUCUUUUAGUUAAUCCCCCCAAAUCCCGAAGGAGAGUUCUCCCAAACAUUUUUUUUUUCAUCAACAGCGCUGUCUGGAAGUAAUCGUUUGGGUGCAGUAAUCUGUUAUUUAAAAUUAUAUUUUAUUCAUUAGUUUAUAAAUCAGGAAUUUUAUUUGCUCAAAUUUGAUUCACAUAGAAGAAAACUUUAGCUACAAAAACUAGGCAAGGGAAUUAAGAUCAAGAUCAGAAUAAAUUGUGGUUCUUCAUUUAAUUUUAAGAGAACUAAAAUUUAACUGGUCAGAUAUGCUUUAAAGGAAUUGAAAUGGAAUCAAUACUAUUUAAUUUUACUCAAAAUCACUUAAUUGAACGCAAUUAAAUUGCCUGUUUGACACACCUUUUUAAUUACAGGGAUGUGAUAAAUAUAGCAUUUAUUUUCCCUUUGCAUUUGUAAAAAAGGAAUGUUCUUAUAAUUGUUCUAUAUUUGUAACAUGCAUUGUUUUGUCAUUAUAGGACUUGAAGCAUUUAGAGUAGAUUUUUAAUUAUAAUGAUAAUAUUAAAUUAUUAAUCAAUACCACUGAAUUGUUGUUAUUCUCGGUUUCUGCAUUUUCUGCAAUGAUUUUCCAAAAUGAGGAAGUGUUUCUAAUGUAACAACUAAAUCUUUUUCUUUUUUUAACCCCUAUUGCUAAACUUGAAUUGUUUCCCUUCUUAAUUAAAAAUAAUUCUGAAUGGGGGAAAAAAAAAAGCCUCUGAAGGAUUUUCGAUUGUGUACAUAAGAAAACUGAAUCAUAACAACUUUUUUUUUUUUUUAAAUUUAUCUCAUCUAGCAAAUCUCCAAUGAAAUAGCAUAUUAUUUAUCAGGCCCUCAAAACCUGAAUAAUUAAAAAUAAUUAAUUGAAAUAAAUGAAACGCUAAAUUGCAUUGCUGUACACAAAGUAUACAUGUUGUUGUGAAACCUUGACAAAGUGUAUUGAGUUUUGUUUAGAGUCAUACAGCUUAUUUUUUGUGAAGUUAAAAAUAUGAAAUAUUCAUUGUACAAAUUGUACUAUGCCUGAAAUUAAUGUAAAUGCUUUUCUUUUUAAUAAAAAUAAU